rnacentral:lncRNA from 1 species
CUGGAAUGGAUGGACACAUUUACAUUGGAAAAGGGAAAACACAAUGAGUUGAGAUCUUUUUUCAAAUAACUCAAAUCUGUCAUAGAAAAAAACAUAGAUUGAUUCAAGUUAUGAAUAUCUUCUGAAGCUAAAAUAAAAAACGCUGAGUUUGGGAGAACUAGGUUUGGUGUAGUAUAAACAGAGAUUUUGAAGACGUUGCCCCUAAAUGGGUUCUGAUAGGGAGUUCAUCGGUUCACAGAUAAGUUCAGUCUUUCGUUGUCGAAUAUAACAUAAGAUGAAUCAUUGAUAAACAUGAAGAUCCUUUCAAACAUAGUGAUUCUAGGAUUAUCUGAGUCCCAGAGAAUUUACCUUAUGAAGUGGUUCAAUGAUACCAUCAGGACAAUGCUGGGCUGGCAAUUUGGUGGCCAGUGUUCUGGUCCCACUUCAAUGCCUGCCUCACUUUCAGGAUGACAUUAAGUUGCUUUCCUCCAGGCUCUAAUUUUCAUCUACUUAAAAGAUGAAGAGUUAUAGUACAGGAUAAUGAUAAUAAAAACUGAAAUAGUAAGCACCCAGGGAAUGGCUCUUUCCGUGGCCAAACAUCAUGCCCUGUGUUUCAUACAUCUUAAGUUCUUUAAUCCUCAAAAUGGCACUGUGUUAUCAGCCUCUCUGUUUUACACAUGAGGAGCCUGGGGCUCACAGGACGAAUCUCCUUUGUGAUUCUUUUGUUUAUGUGCCCCUGAGACUUGGAGCUCAGUCUCAUUAUCACAGCAUUCUAGAGAAAACUUCCCACACACGCUACUGUCUCUACUGUCGCUACUGUCGAGGUCCCUGCCUUUAUGUGGUUUGAUUACUCUGCCUUCUCUGACUUCUGUAAGACACACCAAAUGCUGCUUCUUGCUCAAACUAGCCCAUAUUUCAACUCAAAGAAUCAUAACAAUAUACUUGAUGUCAGGGAACUUAAAGCAGAGGAGAAGAGCUGAUUAUAUAUACAAUUUAUAUACACAGAUGGCACAAAUGAUAUGUCUCUCUCUCUCUUGAGGUUAGGUAUCACGUCUGAUUUGCUUUUGUUUACUUAGUGCCUUGCUCAGGAGCCCAGGACUGGGCAGCUCUCAGGCUGUCUGCUAGUGUUUAUUGAAGAAAUACUUAUGAAAUACUUCAUAAUGAUUACGGAGAAUGUAUUCAUAAUAUACAUUACAGAGUAUGUACAUUCCAUAUCUACACUGAGCACAGACUUGAACUUAGAAAAUAGAAAAAGGACAUAUUUUUGGAAGCAAAAAAAAUUUUAAAUUUAGGAUAUAUUGUAGUUUAGACACCUACUGGCAUCCCACCGGAGCCCUCAACAGGUAUCUAGAUAAAAGAAAUAUAUGGCAUAUAACAGGAGGAGUGAGGCUAGAUUUAGAAAUUUCUGGGUGGUAGUGUCUAGAUAGGUAGUUUUUAUGUACAAGGGACCAGAUGUGAUCACCUAAGGAGUAAAAGCAAAUAGAAAAUAGAAAAUAACCAAAGAAGGAAACUUGAGAUGAUGGGAAGAUGGGGAAGGAAUUAGCAAAGGGGUGGGGGGCAAAAGUGGUAGCAAAUGAUAUAGGAGAAAAACCAGAAGCCAGCCAAGGGAUAUGUCCCAGAAGCCAACCGAAGAAAAUAAUUUAAAAAGAAGAGUUGAUCGACGGGUUUAAAUGCUAUGGAGAGUUUAUGAUAAAAAAGAAUUUACUGUAUCUAUGGCUAUAGAUUAUGACUGCUUUAUAAUAAUUAUCCACAUUUUUCAUCUCUUUCUCCCAUCAGCUUCUGCAGACUUGUUAGCACAUCCCCAAUGCCUUUCCGCUGGGCUGGCCCUUCUGUUCUCAUCCCCUAUCAGAUGGGCCCUCUUCUGUGGCUUGAUGACACUGCUUUCUCCCCUUCUGCCUUCAGACCCAGGGGUGGAAAAUGCUCCCUGCAGUGGCUGACCCCUCGGUGCCUCCCCAACCAUUGCUGAUUCCCUUAACUCUCUCUGUCUAUCUGUAAAAAGUCCCUCAUUAAAUUCUUGCUUAGUUAAACCCUGCUGAGUUUGCCAUCUCUUUCCUGCAUCACAGGAGGAACUUGAGGACAUUUAAGCAAACUUUGCAUUGUGCCAUUUAGCAUUGAUUGUGUCCCUGAUCUGGGCCAAGCAUAGGCUUCCCCUCUUGUUCUAACUGCCCUUAUUGAGGGGUGUGGCUUGGAAACCACCAGAUGACCUCUUAUCAUUGCUGGGCACCACUGUGCCAUGCCUCAGUGCUGCCUGUCUGUGAUGUUUCCAAAGCUACAGGCUUUUUCUGGGCCGAUGGGGAGUUACAUUUCCUAGAGACUUCACUGUGCUGAGGUCUUGCUGGUUCUGCUCAGAUGAGGAGAACAUCCCUUUCUCCUAGUGUGAUCCUCUCACUGAGCACAGCUGUCCCCCACUCCGUGUCUUACAGAAUACCCCUCUUUCCCAGAAAGUGGUGUCCUUUAACCCCGGAGAUGACCUCCAUGGUCUUUGAUGGGUUUCUGCAACUCAGUCAGGAGCCAUAAGAGUAUUAGGAUGGAAAGGAUUCUAUGACUAGGAACCACUGGAUUAAAAAAAUAAAAAGUUUUUUCUAACUACUCAUAGCCUUUCAAUGGACUGUGAAUCUCCAAAAGAGGCCAGUAGGAUAUAGCAUCUGCCCAUAUUAUUUGGCCAUGGAAUGCUUCUUUCAGGGACCACUUACUUCCUGGACUAUGCUUUUAGGAAAUGCUAUUGGUCCAUGGUAUCACUGCUUUCCGAUAAGAAUUGCACAUUGUUUAGUAUUUCCACUAAUUUAUGAUGAUAAUGAAACUUUUUAUGUUUUUAAAAUAUUACCUCAGGCAGACAGAUUGGCCUUGCCAAUGAGAGUCCACUUUGAGGAGAAGCAAUGUGAUGGAAAAUAAUUAGGGCUUUGGGCUCAGCCAGACCUGAGUCUGGAUUCUGACUCAGUCAUUGAGUGGCAUUUGGCAAAUCACUUAACCUUUCUGGGCCUCAGUUUUCACAUCACUAAAAUGAAACCAACAGAGUCUAUUAAGUGUGAUAAUGAUGGUAAACUUUCUACCCCUGUGUCUGGAACGUAGAAGAUGCUCAACAAGACUGAUUUUUUUCCUUCUUUAGAGACAAAUGCUUUAUCACAUGGGCCAUACUGCUCACCACUUAUCAGAGGCCUCAUUGACUAUUCUUUCCAAAUUAUUUUUUAUUCUGAACUUCUCUAGCAUGUAAAGGAUUGACAGGAUCUGGAGAGGCAGAGAAUAGGUCUCAGUGAAUUAGAGAAACUUAAUUUGAGAGACCGUCUUCAUAAUAUCAACUCAUUGACAGUGGUAGCUGCUGGAAGAACUUUGAAUACUUGGAACUGAAUCUUAACAAUUCCCUCUGAGGCAAAAUCCACAAGGAUAUUUGUCAUUUCUUAUUCCAAAUCUAGACGGAAUUAUUUUCCCUCUAGUUUUUAUUUUUUUUUAAUAUUGUUAUAUAAUCCUUAUUUUAAAAGUAAUUCACACAAAAUCCCACCACCUAAAUACAUUGGACAUUUUCAUUUUUGAUAGUGAGCUUUGGAUUUUGUGAUUAUGUAAAAUAUGUCUGAAUAUAAUCAGAGAUUAGUAGAUAUUAUACAAAUAUGUUUCCAGGUUGAUGCCUUCAAAAUAAUUAUUAUUAUUUCUCAUGCUUACAUGAGAAAUUCAAUCCAAGAUUAUUAUGAGGAUUAAAUUCAGGUAAUUUUUUUUUAAAGCCUGAUUUGGUGACUGGUUACAUGAUCACAUCCCAUUGUUGGAUAGUUUUUUUUUUUUUUUUCCCAAUUCCUUUGCCAUUUCUUUUU